rnacentral:rRNA from 1 species
GAUCAUGGCUCAGGAUGAACGCUAGCUACAGGCUUAACACAUGCAAGUCGAGGGGAAACGACAUCGAAAGCUUGCUUUUGAUGGGCGUCGACCGGCGCACGGGUGAGUAGCGCGUAUCCAACCUGCCCAUCACUUUGGAAUAACCUUGCGAAAGUAAGACUAAUGCCCAAUGAUAUCCCACGAAGGCAUCCGAAUGGGAUUAAAGAUUUAUCGGUGAUGGAUGGGGAUGCGU